rnacentral:rRNA from 1 species
UACGUAGGUGGCAAGCGUUGUCCGGAUUUAUUGGGUUUAAAGGGUGCGUAGGCGGUCUAUUAAGUCAGUGGUGAAAUAUGGCAGCUUAACUGUCAAGGUGCCAUUGAUACUGAUGGACUUGAGUGAAGUCAGGUUGGCGGAAUUGACGGUGUAGCGGUGAAAUGCUUAGAUAUCGUCAAGAACACCGAUAGUGAAGACAGCUAACUAGACUUAUACUGACGCUGAGGCACGAAAAGUGUGGGGAUCAAAACAGGG